rnacentral:lncRNA from 12 species
GUCUGGAAAAUGAAAUCUCAUCUCACUCUCUGGAAAUCCUGGAAACUUCUGGAAACCUGCCCAGGAGGAGAAUGCCAAGGAGUGGAGCUGUACACAGGAAGGAGAGAGCAGUACGGGUCACGGCAGUAUGGCGGAGCCACAGUUGCAGCAGAUGCAAGGGCCAGUCGCAGGCAGCAAGAGACCAGAAGCGGAGAGAGGUGGAGGGCCAUAAAGGUAGGAGGUUGUACAGGGUGCAGGGCUCCCAGCACCCUCUCCAUUUUCAAGGGGGAGAACUAUUGCUAUAGUAACACUAGACCUUGAAGAGCAUCCCUGUCCUCCUUGGGGCCUAUGGAAAUGUUCCCCACCUCUCUUCUUUCUCUGGGUCCUCUCCCCCAAACGCCCAUCCCCUGAGGCAAUGCACCUUGGGCUCCUCUCUUCCCCAAACUAAUUCAGCAAUGAGCCCUUCCAGGGAGUUGGGUCCAUCCCUGAGACACGGUUGAGCCCAUCCCACUGUGUCCAUUGAGUCACUCCCAGGCCUGUCCUCAAAGCAAGGCAACUUGAGGCCCUCACCAGCUUCCGGAAAUAUCAGGAUCCCCAGAAUAGGAAGACCCGAGCUCUGCAGCUGCCCCAGCCUCUUCAGGAGAGUUAUGUCAUUCCCUCUGUGGUUAUUUCCUUAUCUAUAAGCCUAAAGUGAGAGAAUCUUCUUCACAUACUCACAGGGAUGCUGAAAGGCCAAAUGAGGUAACAGAAGGGCGAGUUGUUUGAAAGACCAGCAACUGCAGACAAGUGGAAGGAAGCAUGACAUUUGUGAUCACUCACUGGCCACAAGUCAGUAGGGAGUGCUGGUCCACCCAUGCGGGCAUCACGCUCUGUGAAUCUCCUUCCCACCUGUCCUUCCUCCUGCCCUCUCUGGGGCUCCUGUCCAGUCCACCCCACCCUGGCACGUGCAAGUUCUUCUGCAGCUGCCUUUUUUGGAUAGUAACCCCUGCUCUACUUCAUCAGGGCAAGAUCCCAAACCUCAUUUCUCAUGGCAUCCCUUUUGCAGAAGCUGACCUUUCCCCAGAAAAGUCUCACUUCCCUGGGGUCAUCACCAUCACUCCAAGAGCCAGCAACUUCUCCCAGUCGCAGUGGAUUCAAAGGGAACAUGGAGAAAAGCCCAUGGACUGGCCUCUGGAGCUGAACAAAGGAGUUAGGAACUCGUUGCUCUCAGACUCAUUGCCGAGUCCAGACAAAGCUGUACGGACAAUCGCCGCCCUGUGUUGUACCCUCACACACACAUACCUGCAGCCUGCAGGUGGUGUUGAAUUCGAGAAGCCAGACUUGAAAAUAAACCAUUGUCCACUCCUCGUAAGCCCUUCAAUUAUUCACUCAUCAAAUCUGUGAUCAAUGCCUUCUCUGUGCUCAUUGAGAGAAACACACACAGUCACAACACAGCCCCUGAUCUGAGGACCCAAAAUCUUAAGAGGAAGAGCAAAACAAACAGAUUACAAAGUGAUGCCAGUGAUUUAAAAAAUAAAAUAAAAUAAGUAACCA